UUUAUCAGAAGCUGAGGUUAUAAGAGAAGGGAAUGACAUAACACUUGUUGGAUGGGGAGCUCAGCUUACCAUUAUGUAACAAGCUUGUCUAGACUCUACUCCCUUGGGACAAAGAAACUGUUGAGGCCUCGGUUAAAAAGACUGGUAGACUUCUUAUAAGCCAUGAGGCUCCAAUAACAGGAGGUUUUGGAGCAGAGAUCUCUGCAACAAUCCUUGAACGUUGUUUCUUGAAGGUAAGUAAA